rnacentral:lncRNA from 1 species
GUGACUGAACUGAACUGAUCUGAGGGAGGUAUUGCAUUUUAAAUGUGAGUUAAGUCUAAUUCUUUGGUUUCUGGUUGAAGGGUUUUUCUCCUGGGAUCUCUCUCUUUUGGACGGGAAGCCACUAGGCAGCAGAAGGUCUGGGUUGAGUCUUGUGGUUAGGAGGGGCCAGGCUGACAGGAGACUCAUGGGCAAACCUGCUGGGCAGUUCUCCCCCAGAUGGACAGCAGUCCACUGACAAGUCAUGAGCCCAGCCAGAAGGGGAGUCAUUUCUGACAGAUAAGAGACUCCAGAUGUCACACUGCAAUGGUGCGUGGCCAUACGUGCCUGGUGGCUGUCAUAUUGGACAACACAGAUGCAGGAUGGAGCCGUCAACACAGGGAGUUCUGUUGGGCAGCCCUGGAAGGGCCCCAUCACGGAAGGUGCGUGCCCCCACAUCUUUGCUUUGUUUAGAUUCGAGGGUUGAAAUAAUGGUGAUAAAUAGUUGAAAAUUUGAGGAGGAGAGAUUUAGCUUCGUAUUAGGAAAAUCUUCUGAACAGAAACAGCUGUUCAGAGGUGCCUUGUAGGCAGUGAGACCCCCUGUUACCAGGAGAAUUCAACUCUGGGUGAAGUGCUUUGGUUGUCUUUUCUUCUCUGAAGGAUUUUCCAUGCUGUGAAAGGUAUUCUUUAUAAAAUAUAUAUAUUUUUUCUGUUCUAGCUGCUAAGCAUUGCGCUUUCCUUACAUGAUCACAUUCAUCAUUUUAACAAUUCUGCAAGUCAGGUGAUAUCAUCCAUCCCCUUCUUACAGAUAAGGAAACAGAAUCAGCCAGGUAAGUUGCCCAAGUUCUGGUAAGUGCAAUGGAUCAAUGCAUUUUGUGGGGUCUGAUCCCAAGGUUUUUAUAGACUCCCUUUAAUCUUUUUUUUAAAAUAGAUCUUUAAAAAAUAUUUAUUUAUUUGGCCGUGUAGAGUCUGC